rnacentral:rRNA from 1 species
UACGUAGGGUGCGAGCGUUAAUCGGAAUUACUGGGCGUAAAGCGUGCGCAGGCGGUUUUGUAAGGCAGAUGUGAAAUCCCCGGGCUUAACCUGGGAAUGGCAUUUGGGACUGCAAGGCUGGAGUGCGGCAGAGGAGACUGGAAUUCCUGGUGUAGCAGUGAAAUGCGUAGAUAUCAGGAGGAACACCGAUGGCGAAGGCAGGUCUCUGGGCUGACACUGACGCUCAUGCACGAAAGCGUGGGGAGCAAACAGG